ACUCCUAAUACCCACUGCUACACCUGAGCACAUACCUGUGUGUGUGAUUGCUGAUAAGAUUACAGGCAGGUGUGUGAGGGGAUGCACAGAAUGACAGGCAGGAGCAUGGCAUGUUAGUGCCAGGACUCACAAGUGGGUGACCCAGACACGACUGCUGCCAGCACCAGCAAACUUCCCAGCCUUUUACAUUUAGGAACAAACACAGUAAUAAAACAAGAUUAACAAACAGACAAAAGACCCUGCGCUGACACUCCGCGGCGAGCGGCUUUUGGUUACCAUGGUGACCAGGCCGGAGACCCGACGUGCUGCCUAGCAACUAGACGCCAGGGAGGGUGAGGCGGCGCGGAUGACGUAAUUCCCGCGAGACGCAGGAGGCCCCCGGCGCGGCAGGAAGCGCGGGAGAAGCUCGUCUUCACGGGUGAUGGACACUGGCUUUAUAAGGGACAUGCAGCCCUCCCACAACCAGCACCGGGUUUUGGAACUGCAUUAGCCAUGGCAACCUCUAGGGUGCAGCUAAAUUAUGUCAUCAAUGGACUUCAACCCUCUUUGGUGAGAGCACAUGUCCUUAGGGGUAUAAGGUUAUUAUUCAACUGAAGGUCUUAUUUGUGAAGUGUGAGCCAGCGCCGGAAUGCGCAUGAUCGCCCAAGCAAAAUAAAUCCUUGAAUUAAAAAAAGCUAUAGGGAUUGCAUAAGAAAAGGACGAUGGAACGCAGACCGGCGCUGGAACGCAUCCUGGAUUUCCGGGUUACGUCACAUCCGCCCAGACGUUUAUAAAUUCAUAUGGUCCCUUUUCUGUUUGUCCUGUUUAUUGUGUAUCAGUAUUGGUUGACGGCUUCUUACUGAUGUAGUUUGUGGAUAUGGGGUUGAAGGUGCUGUAUAUUUUAAUAUUUCGUGUAUUUUGUGUGUUUGAUAAAUUUACGAUACAAAUCCACGCUGGAACGCAUACGCAACUUCCGGUUGGUGGAAUAUCCGCCGGAAGGAAAUGCUCCUAAAUCGAUCUGCACAUGUGUUUUGAAUUUUACAAUUAGGAGGUCUUUAAAAGGACUGCACACGUACUCUUACCACACUUCUGAUGAAGGAUCCUAUGUGAUCCGAAACGCGUUAAGUGUGGUUGUGGAUUUUCUACUCUUGUGGACACCUGAGGACGCUGCCUGUUACCGCGAGGACUGACGACUUCAAAUUCCGGCAUUGAGGCCGUCGCUACCUCUUGGAGACCAUCUGUAGACGUUUGUGAGCUGUCUUGCUGUGUCCUUAUGUGCCACUGGGUUUUUACAUGCGAUUUUAACUUUAUCUUUUUGUAAGUGCAACUUAAUUAAAACAACAGCCUUGUUUUUAUUACUGCACUAUCAUUGUUUUAUUUCUUGUACUUUGAGGCCGUCGUUAUCUCUUGGAGACCAUCUGUUAGACGUCGGUGAGCUGACUUGCUGUACCUUUGUGUGCGACUGGGUCUUUACAUGCGAUUAUAACUCUAUUUUGCUGUAAGUGCAACUUAUUAUUAAAACAU